rnacentral:rRNA from 1 species
GACGAACGCUGGCGGCGUGCUUAACACAUGCAAGUCGAACGGAAAGGCCCUGCUUUUGUGGGGUUCUCGAGUGGCGAACGGGUGAGUAACACGUGAGUAACCUGCCCUUGACUUUGGGAUAACUUCAGGAAACUGGGGCUAAUACCGGAUAGGAGCUCCUGCUGCAUGGUGGGGGUUGGAAAGUUUCGGCGGUUGGGGAUGGACUCGCGGCUUAUCAGCUUGUUGGUGGGGUAGUGGCUUACCAAGGCUUUGACGGGUAGCCGGCCUGAGCGGGUGACCGGUCACAUUGGGACUGAGAUACGGCCCAGAGUCCUACGGGAGGCAGCAGUGGGGAAUAUUGCACAAUGGGCGGAAGCCUGAUGCAGCAACGCCGCGUGCGGGAUGACGGUCUUCGGGUGUUAAACCGCUUUCGCCUGUGACGAAGCGUGAGUGACGGUAAUGGGUAAAGAAGCACCGGCUAACUACGUG